UUAACACAUGCAAGUCGAGGGGCAGCAUGGUCUUAGCUUGCUAAGGCUGAUGGCGACCGGCGCACGGGUGAGUAACACGUAUCCAACCUGCCGUCUACUCUUGGCCAGCCUUCUGAAAGGAAGAUUAAUCCAGGAUGGGAUCAUGAGUUCACAUGUCCGCAUGAUUAAAGGUAUUUUCCGGUAGACGAUGGGGAUGCGUUCCAUUAGAUAGUAGGCGGGGUAACGGCCCACCUAGUCAACGAUGGAUAGGGGUUCUGAGAGGAAGGUCCCCCACAUUGGAACUGAGACACGGUCCAAACUCCUACGGGAGGCAGCAGUGGGGAAUAUUGGUCAAUGGGCGAUGGCCUGAACCAGCCAAGUAGCGUGAAGGAUGACUGCCCUAUGGGUUGUAAACUUCUUUUAUAAAGGAAUAAAGUCGGGUAUGCAUACCCGUUUGCAUGUACUUUAUGAAUAAGGAUCGGCUAACUCCGUGCCAGCAGCCGCGGUAAUACGGAGGAUCCGAGCGUUAUCCGGAUUUAUUGGGUUUAAAGGGAGCGUAGAUGGAUGUUUAAGUCAGUUGUGAAAGUUUGCGGCUCAACCGUAAAAUUGCAGUUGAUACUGGAUGUCUUGAGUGCAGUUGAGGCAGGCGGAAUUCGUGGUGUAGCGGUGAAAUGCUUAGAUAUCACGAAGAACUCCGAUUGCGAAGGCAGCCUGCUAAGCUGCAACUGACA
rnacentral:rRNA from 1 species